UUCCAGACUCCUACGGGAGGCAGCAGUGAGGAAUAUUGGUCAAUGGGCGGAAGCCUGAACCAGCCAAGUCGCGUGAGGGAAUAAGGCCCUACGGGUCGUAAACCUCUUUUGCCGGGGAGCAAGGGCCGGGACGAGUCCCGGUCCGGAGAGUACCUGAAGAAAAAGCAUCGGCUAACUCCGUGCCAGCAGCCGCGGUAAUACGGAGGAUGCGAGCGUUAUCCGGAUUUAUUGGGUUUAAAGGGUGCGCAGGCGGAAUGUCAAGUCAGCGGUAAAAUUUCGGGGCUCAACCCCGUCGUGCCGUUGAAACUGGCGUUCUUGAGUGAGCGAGAAGUAUGCGGAAUGCGUGGUGUAGCGGUGAAAUGCAUAGAUAUCACGCAGAACUCCGAUUGCGAAGGCAGCAUACCGGCGCUCAACUGACGCUCAUGCACGAAAGCGUGGGUAUCGAACAGGAUUAGAUACCCGUGUA
rnacentral:rRNA from 1 species